rnacentral:lncRNA from 12 species
CCCUUCCACAGCUCCAUGGGGUAAGGGCGGCCGCCUUGCUGCCCCAGUCCAGGGAAGGAGGCUGCAGUCAGAGCUUGGGCAGGUCACCUGGGACCCCCCACUCCCCUGUAAGCUCUGUGCUGUGUAGGGGAGACCCAAGCCAUGACCUUUCCAGCAUGUCCUAGACCCAUGGACCCGGACAUGUGAUAACAACCCCCGCCCCGCCCUGUGGUCUGGGGUGGGCAGUCAGGGCUCUCUGGGUCCUCUUGGCCCAUGAGCAGGCUUGCUUUUCAUGAACUGCUAUGUGGAGUUCCUCGUGCUCCCCCCAGGACUCCCCCGUCAGGCUAUGUGCACAUAAUUGCAUUCAGGGUGAGUAGUUUGGACACACUCUUGCUGGCAUAAGUUUUUAAUUUUGAUGAAGUCCAGUUCGUUGCUGUUUCCCUUUGGUUGUUGUGCUUGUGAAAUCUAAGAGAAACCUUCGAUCCCCCCCCCAAGCCUGCAGGAAUACUUGCUGGCUGGCCCAUUUACCACCAUCUCGAUGCUGGCCCCGGGCUGGGAGAUGUCACCCUAAGCAUCAGGUCAGCAGUUCCCCAGAGGCUCCGGGGACCCCCGUGUGCUCCUGAUAAUGGGGUAGGGGAGCUCAGUCAUCUCAGCAUGACGGCAUGUCCUGGGACAGUGGCUGGGAAGGUGGACUGUAGGUGGACGAGUGACAGUGAGUGAGUGCUUAUGUGUGAUCCUCCAGCCCAGUAUGUCCUCCUUGGAGCUAUGGGGUUGUCUCCACGCUCUGUUCAGAUAGGGAUCUGCCCACAGGGAGCACACAGAUGCAUGUGUCCUCUGAAGGUUUUCAUGCGGUGUCAUUCUUGGGUGUGUUUGGUUUGCAGCAUCAUGCAAGAGGACCUGGAGACCCUGCUGGCCUUGGAAAGGGCUGAUAUCAUAGCUCAAUACCAUCAGGGAGAAGGAGCUGCCUGGCCCCAGCCCCCAUGAGGCCAAGAAACAUCGCCAGGAGACCUGACAAGUGGUUAACAAUGCUCAGGAAAUGAGGCCACUACCACCACAGUGAGAAGGUGGGGCGCUGGGUGCCCCCGAGGGCACUGUGUCCACUGGAGAGUCCCCCGCCUGGGGAGAGUCUGCUGCUGGAGCCGAAGCCUCCCCAGGCCCAAGGAUGGCAGUGGAAGGAGUGUCAGGUCAGGGCCACCGCCCCUGCUCCUUGUGGGUGAUGGGGCCCAGUUCUAGGGAGACCCAGCCUCUCCAGAGACACCGUGGAGCUGAAGCCGGAAUCUUCUAGAUACCUCUUGCUCCCUGAGCUCCAAGGGGCCACCCUGGGCCCAUCUCACCAGCAUUGCCUUCCCUCCUACAGCUGCAUCACUGGGUCUAUAAGGGGGUUCCACCUCAGGUGUGGAGACAGGUGUGGUUGCAUUUGCUGGAGAUUGAGAAGGUUAAAGCCAGGAACCCAGGGAAAUACCAAGUAGGGCCCUUCCACUCCCGGCAGACACAUGGCCCACAGGGAAGGCCUGGACAGGAGCAGAGGGGAACCUGGGGGGAGGGGGGAGGUCAGCUGCCUGGGGACCCAGGGUGGCCCCAGCAUCUCCUGGUGCCUCUCUGACCCAAGUGCCCCGCCCACCUCUCUGCUGCCCCCACCUCAGUCCCACUGUCCCUGGAGCAGAGUAGGCCCAGGUCCAGAAAGGGACAGGGUUGCAGGGCUCUGAGCUCCUCCUGGGCAGGGUCAGCAUCGGGGUGAUGGGAGCUGGCCCUCUGGACAGGCCUGGAGCCCUGAGUGGGGCCAAGCAGGUGGGCUGGGGCCAGAUUCCUGCUGGACAAAGCAG